CUCUGGUCCUUUUGCUGCUUAGGCAUAGAAAGUUAGGGUUUUUCUUUCAGUUAGUUCUAGGAAGUUGGCCUGAAACUACCUUGGGUUUCCUGCCUCCAGACACCAUUCUCCUGUCUCAGAAGCAUCACCCCAGGAGAUCAAAGGCAGCUCAGACUCAGUCAGGAAGGCAGCUAAGGAAGCAAGAUGAAUGGUGGGGCACGAGGAAUGAACAGAAGCAGUCGAAAUCAGGGUCAGGUUGGGCCAAGAAAUUGUGGACAACUCAGGCAAGCUGUUCAGGAAUAAGAUUCAGCCAAAAGGAUCACAUUCAACCGGGAAGAAACAAGACCCAGUAUCACAGUGACCUAAACACAAUACAAGCUCAUUCACUCUUGCAUAGAAGAGGACCAGAAACAGAUGAUCCAGGGGCAGCUAUGGUAGCUCUUCAUCAUCAGGAACCCAGUUGUUUUCUGGCUUUCCUCUCUGCCAUUACUGGGGUGCACCUUCAUCCUCGUGGUCUGAUAUGGUCUCUAGAGGUUUCUAGAGCUCCAAACAUCACAUCCACAUUGCUGCUAGAAGGUUUUUGGGGAAAAUGGAAGAAGAGUAUAUUUGCUGUCUUUCCAAAGGCUUCCCAGAAGUACUAUACAAGACUUCUAUGUACAUCUCAUUAGCCAGAAAGUGUUCACUUGGUCACCUUGCUGCAAAAGAGGCUGGGGAACAUAGUAACAUGCCCAUUACUAAGAAAGAAGGGAGCGUGGACACGUGAGACAUCCCAACCCUUCACAAUGAGGUAUAAAAGCUCCUUUUUCCAAGCAUAAUGUCGAGCUCUUACCCCAGGAGGCUCCACGUGUGAUGGAAGGCACAGACUUUGGAAUCAGACAGACCUGGGACAGAUCCUGGAAGGUCUUUUAGGCUAACUGAUGGCGCCAUGGACGCCAUGGUAACCUCUGUGCCCUGCACAGACACUCCAGAUGAGUUCCUGGAAAAUCUGAAGUAGCUGGAAGACCAUGAAAAGAGGAAGACCCUUCAGUACCUACUUAAAUUUGAGACACUCUCUAUUCCUUAUUCCUGCCCCAAUUGAUAAGGCUAUUGGACUUUGUAACCAACCUUGGUCAACCUCAUGACUCCACACCCUACGACCCCCUCCCAGCUUGCCAAAAAACGCCCCAAACUGUGACUUCCGUAACUUUCCACUGUUUACCCCACACCUAUAAAACCAACUCUGCCUUUCGCUGACUCUCUUUUGGGACCCAGCUGGCCCACAGCCGGGUGAAUAAACAGCCAGGUUGCUCACA
rnacentral:lncRNA from 13 species